rnacentral:rRNA from 1 species
UGGGGAAUAUUGCACAAUGGGCGAAAGCCUGAUGCAGCAACGCCGCGUGAGUGAUGAAGGCCUUCGGGUUGUAAAGCUCUGUCUUUUGGGACGAUAAUGACGGUACCAAAGGAGGAAGCCACGGCUAACUACGUGCCAGCAGCCGCGGUAAUACGUAGGUGGCAAGCGUUGUCCGGAUUUACUGGGCGUAAAGGAUGCGUAGGCGGAUUUUUAAGUGAGAUGUGAAAACCCUAAGCUUAACUUGGGGACUGCAUUUCAUACUGGAAAUCUAGAGUGCGGGAGAGGAGAAUGGAAUUCCUAGUGUAGCGGUGAAAUGCGUAGAGAUUAGGAAGAACACCAGUGGCGAAGGCGAUUCUCUGGACCGUAACUGACGCUGAGGCAUGAAAGCGUGGGUAGCAAACAGGAUUAGAUACCCUGGUAGUCCACGCCGUAAACGAUGAGUACUAGGUGUAGGGGGUAUCGACCCCUUCUGUGCCGCAGUUAACACAAUAAGUACUCCGCCUGGGAAGUACGAUCGCAAGAUUAAAACUCAAAUGAAUUGACGGGGUCAUAGCUG